rnacentral:rRNA from 1 species
UACGUAGGCAGCGAGCGUUGUUCGGAGUUACUGGGCGUAAAGAGUGUGUAGGCGGUGCUCUAAGUUUGGUGUGAAAUCUCCCGGCUCAACUGGGAGGGUGCGCCGAAAACUGGAAUGCUUGAACAUGGGAGAGGAAAGCGGAAUUCCUGGUGUAGCGGUGAAAUGCGUAGAUAUCAGGAGGAACACCUGCGGUGUAGACGGCUUUCUGGACCAUUGUUGACGCUGAGACACGAAAGCGUGGGUAGCAAACAGG